UAGCUUGCUACUUUGCUGACGAGCGGCGGACGGGUGAGUAAUGCUUGGGAACAUGCCUUGAGGUGGGGGACAACAGUUGGAAACGACUGCUAAUACCGCAUAAUGUCUACGGACCAAAGGGGGCUUCGGCUCUCGCCUUUAGAUUGGCCCAAGUGGGAUUAGCUAGUUGGUGAGGUAAUGGCUCACCAAGGCGACGAUCCCUAGCUGGUUUGAGAGGAUGAUCAGCCACACUGGGACUGAGACACGGCCCAGACUCCUACGGGAGGCAGCAGUGGGGAAUAUUGCACAAUGGGCGCAAGCCUGAUGCAGCCAUGCCGCGUGUGUGAAGAAGGCCUUCGGGUUGUAAAGCACUUUCAGUCAGGAGGAAAGCGUGGUGGUUAAUACCCAUCAUGUGUGACGUUACUGACAGAAGAAGCACCGGCUAACUCCGUGCCAGCAGCCGCGGUAAUACGGAGGGUGCGAGCGUUAAUCGGAAUUACUGGGCGUAAAGCAUACGCAGGCGGUUUGUU
rnacentral:rRNA from 1 species